rnacentral:rRNA from 1 species
GAUGAACGCUGGCGGCGUGCCUAAUACAUGCAAGUCGAGCGAACGGAUGAGAAGCUUGCUUCUCUGAUGUUAGCGGCGGACGGGUGAGUAACACGUGGAUAACCUACCUAUAAGACUGGGAUAACUUCGGGAAACCGGAGCUAAUACCGGAUAAUAUUUUGAACCGCAUGGUUCAAAAGUGAAAGACGGUCUUGCUGUCACUUAUAGAUGGAUCCGCGCUGCAUUAGCUAGUUGGUAAGGUAACGGCUUACCAAGGCAACGAUGCAUAGCCGACCUGAGAGGGUGAUCGGCCACACUGGAACUGAGACACGGUCCAGACUCCUACGGGAGGCAGCAGUAGGGAAUCUUCCGCAAUGGGCGAAAGCCUGACGGAGCAACGCCGCGUGAGUGAUGAAGGUCUUCGGAUCGUAAAACUCUGUUAUUAGGGAAGAACAUAUGUGUAAGUAACUGUGCACAUCUUGACGGUACCUAAUCAGAAAGCCACGGUUAACUACGUG